UUAAUCAGAGGAUGGGGUUUCUGGCUGGCAUUACUAAUUUCUAAACAGAAGCUUUCUGUCUGAAAGUGAGGGCUGUGAUAUGAAUCCUCUGUUAGGAAGCUGAGCACUGAGAGGCUGUGGGCCCUUCGAAGACUAGGUCGAGGCAUUUACUAGAAAAGAUUUCACUAGACCCACGAGGGGUGAACGAGCGCUCCGAGGGGAGAUCGGGCUGUGCGGGUGACCGUCGACCUCGGGAUUUCUGCUGCCUCAGUGGCUGGCUUUCCAUCUCCAGUUCUCGCCGCUCCUACCUCGCGUGCUCCACCGUCCCUCAGCCUUGGCCUCCUGUGCAGGCUGGUGAUCGGUUCUGAGGUUGUCUAGAAGAAGUUCCAAGAAGGAGGGGCCGUAGCCCUUUAAGGACUUCCCCGCGACGGAGUCAGAGAUCAGUUUAAAAAUGCCAACUCACAGAGCGCGCUGCCUUCUGGGAAGCCGAGUGUCACCGUCAAAACCUCAUUGACCAGGAUGCACUGCAGAAACACACGCCUUCACUUCCUCCUGCUCUUUAAACUGUGGUUUGACGUAGAAAUGGUCUAAGCAAGUUGCCUAAGCCCAGAGCUAGCCACACCUUUUCAGCUAUUGGCAGGCCGGCCGGUUGGCAGGCGUGGCUCGGCGCGGCUCCUCCGCGCGAGCGGGUGGCCUCCUUGCCAAUCAGAGCCCAGACGCCGCGAGGGGCGGGAGCAAGCGCAGGCACUGGCGCCCCCCGAGUGGGUGUGGUCACGUUGCCCAGCGGUGGGCGGUGAUUGGCCCUGGGCGGUGCAUUCGCAGCUCGUGCGUCACGACGCCGCCAGCUGAUCGGAGACUGGAGCCGGUGUGUGCUGGGCGCUGGGAAGAGACAGAGCGGUCGGCCGUGCGGAGAGGACGCAGUGAUUUUGCUCCCCUGUCCUCAGCAACCCCCACACCCAGCAUCAGGAACCUGUGCCUCCCACACUCACCUGGCUGAGCCGCAGUAGUUCUUCAGUGGCAAGCUUUAUGUCCUGACCAGCUAAAGCUGCCAGUUGAAGAACUGUUGCCCUCUGCCCCUGGCUUCGAGGAGGAAGAGGAGGAGCAGCUUCUUGGCCUAUCAUCUGGAAGGUGACAGAACUGGGGUUGGGAAGGCCUGGAUAGCUGGGGUGUUGGCUUUACGGGAGGGAAACCCUGGCUCUCUGGGGAGCCCUUAGCCACAUGGCCCAGCAAAAAUUUAGGUUGAAGGCACCUGACUAAACUGGGGAAUAGGUGGCCCGCCUCCCCAAGGGUGGUUGAUCUCUGUUUGGCAAUGGCAAGAGAUAGAAGGAAAGUCUGUCUGUCUAUGGAGAUUUUCUUAUAGGCCUGCCUUUCUUAUCUCCUACCCCCCUCACACACACAUUCUUUCUGCAUGAUUUCCAAAAGUAAAUGAACUCAAGGGAAAGGUGACGCCAAAACUUUCAUGUGAGUCACCUGCGUCUUCACCUGUCUCUGUAUUUAUUUUUAGAUUGGUCCAGGUUUUGGGUUUAGGAGUACUUGGCUCUUUGGGGACCGUACACCUGUCUGUUUCUCCACCUGUGCAAUGGGGAAUCCCGUAGAUGAGGAGGCGGGAGGGUGUGGAAGGUCCGCCCGUGCUGACUCAGCCUGGGCGCGUCUCUUCUUGUGGAUGAACUGCUGUUUCUCUUCCAGCCCCUGACUACUCACCCACCUCUUGGGGUUGGGCUAGAAGGAAAGACUAGGGUUAAGACCAAUGCAAGCUAGUGGGAGGCUAGUCCUGUGCUGACUUCUUGCCAUGUAAGGGUGGCCCAAGGCUUCCCCUCCACCCCCAGCAAGACUGCGGGUCCUGGUUGGGUUCUAGCAACCACUGCCAUUUAUCAUCUGCCUUUGCUUUCCAGGAUAGUGAGACUCAGCUCAGUGCUGUGCAGGCAAGAAAUUGCCUCCUCAGGCCAUCAGGGGAGAUAGGUGUAUGAUAUGAGUCCCUUCUGCUGCCUCUAGUUCCUGAUUUAUUUCAUGUUUGGGCUUGGCCUCUGAUUGUGGUUCACCAUUGGCCCAGUCUCCCUAACAGAAGAUGGAUUCAGAGCCCACAGGAAGUUGUUCAUUCUGUUUGACAGGAGGAGUUCUAGCUUAUUCUGCAUUUAUGAGAAACUGAAAGUAAUAGGGAAGAAUGGAUCAUACACUCCAGCCCUCCUGCAGCCUAAGAUGAGGGGUAGGAUGUGUGAGGGACUAUAGAGAGGGGGUAGGGAGGCUGCGUCUACUCAUACACUGCAACAAAGGUUGCUUUGUCCCUCGACAUUGCUUUCUUCCCCUCCUCACUUCACUGGCCACAGUGUGUCCCUCCAGCACUGGGUACAUGGCUCUGCUAUCUUCAUCCAACACGGAGCCUCAGAGGUGAGGAAGGGCAGCCUGGAAACGCAGAGGCAGGCAGAAGACCGGUGAAGGACCUGGCCUGGAGCCACGGGGGCCUACCCAGACAUGGGUCAGAGGGGCACAUAGAGGCCUGGAGAACACCGGGAAAGAGAACAGCCAGCCUCAGUGAAAGACAAGCUUCCAGCCAUCUUCUCUCCAGACCUUCCUCCCUUGGAGAUGAAGGGCCAUAGUGAAGUAUGGCCCCUUUCUUCUCUACUGUGCAGUUUCUAUAUAAGCAGCCUCAAAGGACCACCGCCGAGGGGAAGUACACAGCAAUUUGGAAGGAUUUCUGGCUGUGGGUAUAGCUCAGGUGGUGGCACGCUCGCUCAGCACGCACAGAGCCCGCUUCUGUCUUAUGCAUUGUAGAAAGGUGGGUGCGGUGGCACAGGUCUGUAAUGCCAGCACUGUGGGGGGUGGCAAACGAGCCUCUGCUAUACACAUAUACACAGUGAGUUCUGAGCCAGCCUGGACCGCCUAAAACUGUCUCAAAAAAAAAAAAAAGGCAUUCGUUAGUAAUUAAAGAAGGCAGAUAUCGCUGAAAGCAGUUUUCUGUGAUCAUGGUAUGACAAAGAACUGCAAGCUGAAAGAACACUUCUAUACUUUGUGUAUGGCAGUAUCAAGCAUUGUGAGAGAUGUCUUUUGACCUAGUAAAUUUCUGUUUUAGAAAUGUAUCUUAAAGUAAGGAUUUGGUUAUAAAAUGUUCAUUUCAGGCUUGUAAUAGAGAAAAGUAGAAUGCAUCUGUUUGUUUGAAAAUCCAUUCCUUUUCUGCUGUCAUGAGAAUUUGUAGUAGGGGAUUGCUUAAGUAAAUGAUACUGGUCCUGAUGGUGGAGGGCUGCACACCCAUUCAAAGUCAUGUAGAAGACAAAGUGACCGUAAAGAAAAUGCUCCUUACAUAUUAAAAGGAUGAUAAAAAGUGUAAGUGAGGAUUUGAUUUAGUUAAACAAUUUGUUCUUGAAAUGAGUACAUACCUGUAAUACAUUUUUGGUUUUGUUUUAAAUACUGAAAGUAGACUCAAAAUGCGCAGAGUGGUUGUUCACCCUUGUUUUUUCUGUCAUGCUAAGCUGUCCAUACUAACUGUAUGUUGUUUUCACAUGUUAAAUAAAAUACAAAAGAUAAAUGUA